rnacentral:rRNA from 1 species
AUUGAACGCUGGCGGCAUGCCUUACACAUGCAAGUCGAACGGCAGCGCGGGAGCAAUCCUGGCGGCGAGUGGCGAACGGGUGAGUAACAUAUCGGAACGUGCCCUGGAGUGGGGGAUAACUAGUCGAAAGAUUAGCUAAUACCGCAUACGAUCUACGGAUGAAAGUGGGGGAUCGCAAGACCUCAUGCUCGUGGAGCGGCCGAUAUCUGAUUAGCAGUUGGUAGGGUAAAAGCCUACCAAGGCGACGAUCAGUAGCUGGUCUGAGAGGACGACCAGCCACACUGGGACUGAGACACGGCCCAGACUCCUACGGGAGGCAGCAGUGGGGAAUUUUGGACAAUGGGGCAACCCUGAUCCAGCAAUGCCGCGUGAGUGAAGAAGGCCU